GAAAUGCGAUAAGUAGUGUGAAUUGCAGAAUUCAGUGAAUCAUCGAAUCUUUGAACGCACAUUGCGCCCUUUGGUAUUCCUUAGGGCACGCCUGUUCGAGCGUCAUCUAAACCUUCAAGCCCUGCUUGGUGUUGGGUGCCUGUCCCGCCUCCGCGCGCGGACUCACCUCAAAUCCAUUGGCGGCCCCCGCGUCGGCCACGAGCGCAGCAGAAACGCGAACUCGUGAGCCCGUCCGGGCGGCUCCCAGAAGCUACACCCACCCAGUUUGACCUCGGAUCAGGUAGGGAUACCCGCUGAACUUAAGC
rnacentral:misc_RNA from 1 species